rnacentral:rRNA from 1 species
AUUGAACGCUGGCGGCAUGCCUUACACAUGCAAGUCGAACGGUAACAGGUCUUCGGAUGCUGACGCGUGGCGAACGGGUGAGUAAUACAUCGGAACGCGCCUAGACUUGGGGGAUAACUACUCAAAAGAGUGGCUAAUACCGCCUGCGAUCUGCGGACGAAAGCAGGGGGUGGCAAGCUCUUUUGCUUCUGGAGGGGCCGAUGGCCGAUUAGGUAGUGGGUGGGAUGAAGGCUUACCAAGCCGACGAUCUGUAGCUGGGCUGAGAGGACGAUCAGCCACACUGGGACGGAGACACGGCCCAGACUCGUACGGGAGGCAGCAGUGGGGAACUAUGGACAAUGGGCGAAAGCCUUAUCCAGCAAUGCCGCGUGCGGGAUGAAGGCCUUCGGGUUGUAAACUGCUUUUGUACGGAACGAAAAGCCCCGGGUUAAUCACCUGGGGUCAUGACGGUACCGUAAGAAUAAGCACCGGCUAACUACGUGCCAGCAGCCGCCGCUG